AACGAACGCUGGCGGCAUGCCUAACACAUGCAAGUCGAACGGGAUCCUGGCUUCGGUCAGGUGAGAGUGGCGGACGGGUGAGUAACGCGUGGGAACCUGCCCAGUGGUGGGGGAUAACUGCGGGAAACUGCAGCUAAUACCGCAUGAGCCCGAGAGGGGAAAGAUUUAUCGCCAUUGGAGGGGCCCGCGUUCGAUUAGGUAGUUGGUGAGGUAACGGCUCACCAAGCCGACGAUCGAUAGCUGGUCUGAGAGGAUGAUCAGCCACACUGGGACUGAGAUACGGCCCAGACUCCUACGGGAGGCAGCAGUGGGGAAUAUUGGACAAUGGGGGCAACCCUGAUCCAGCAAUGCCGCGUGAGUGAUGAAGGCCUUCGGGUUGUAAAGGCUCUUUUGUCCGGGGACGAUGAUGACGGUACCCGGAGAAUAAGCCCGGC
rnacentral:rRNA from 1 species